rnacentral:rRNA from 1 species
GACAGAGGGUGCAAACGUUGUUCGGAAUUACUGGGCGUAAAGCGUGCGCAGGCGGUUUUGUAAGCCAGAUGUGAAAGCCCCGGGCUCAACCUGGGAACUGCAUUUGGGACUGCAAGGCUGGAGUACGGCAGAGGGAGGUGGAGUUCCACGUGUAGCAGUGAAAUGCGUAGAGAUGUGGAGGAACACCGAUGGCGAAGGCAAUCCCCUGGGCCUGCACUGACGCUCAUGCACGAAAGCGUGGGGAGCAAACAGG